UAGUCCACGCCGUAAACGAUGUCUACUAGCCGUUGGGAAUCUAGUUAUUCUUAGUGGCGCAGCUAACGCACUAAGUAGACCGCCUGGGGAGUACGGCCGCAAGGUUAAAACUCAAAUGAAUUGACGGGGGCCCGCACAAGCGGUGGAGCAUGUGGUUUAAUUCGAUGCAACGCGAAGAACCUUACCAUCUCUUGACAUCCUGCGAACUUGGUAGAGAUACCUUGGUGCCUUCGGGAGCGCAGUGACAGGUGCUGCAUGGCUGUCGUCAGCUCGUGUUGUGAAAUGUUGGGUUAAGUCCCGUAACGAGCGCAACCCUUGUCCUUAGUUGCCAGCGAGUAAUGUCGGGAACUCUAGGGAGACUGCCGGUGACAAACCGGGAGGAAGGUGGGGACGACGUCAAGUCAUCAUGGCCCUUACGAGAUGGGGCUACACACGUGCUACAAUGGCCGGUACAGAGGGUCGCAAACCCGCGAGGGGGAGCC
rnacentral:rRNA from 1 species